GCCGAAGUGGCGGAAUUGGCAGACGCGAGGGUCUCAAAAACCCUUGGGGUAAUUCCCAUGUCGGUUCGAUCCCGACCUUCGGCACCA
rnacentral:tRNA from 1 species